ensembl:lncRNA
CUUGGCUGUGAGUUUGGAUGCUGAUCUCUUCAGAACCUAUUAGUGUCAUUCUCUGCAUUAUGAACAGAGCAGGCCUUUGAGGUAUUUCCCUGAAGAGAUUAAGUAUGAAUGUGAAGUACUGAAUUGCUUUUUGUUCGUUCCACUGAAAAUGCAGACCAACCUGAAUUAUUAGCGUAUGUCUAUAUGUCGAUAUUAUGCAAUAAGCAUAUGUCUAUAUAGUGAUAUUAUGCAAUAAACAAUGCAGAAUAUAUUUUUAUAAUUUAUCUCUCUUUGACUAGCAGAGAAAAGCAAAUAAAAAAAUGUUGUAAAAGCAACAAGCCUGAUUUCAGCAGCUCAGAAGCUGUUCAGUGGUGGCUGUCUGAUCAUAAUCUAUGCUGCUUUGCUCAGUAUGGAGUGGCACAGUGACACCCUGGCUUUCAGGCAGCUCUGUAACUCCUGAAUGGGCAACGCGCUGUUUAACCUGAGGUACCUUGGAAGUUGAUCCUGCUUUAUGCACAAGUAGAACAAGAUGACCUCCAGCAUGCUGUUCCAACCUACGUUAGUCUGUGACUAAUAAGGAUUCCCAGCUGUGCAAGGUUACUGCAGACAUGAACCAGAGGACCAGUGUUUGCUCCUUGUCAUUUGAUCUUGCACUUACUCAAGUAACUUCCCACUCACUGACUCUCACCUGGCGUAUUGUGAAGCUGUGCACAUCUUCUUGAACAGCAGCAUUAACCAGAAGCUGGUAUUUGGCUCAUUUGCAGACAGGGGUUACACCUCACAUCAUUCUUGCUACAAUUUUGAUUGCAGCUGGACUCUAGCAAGGCUCACCAUUGCUUGUCCCUGGUGGCCAUCAUGUUCUCUAGGCAGUCAACUCCAGUAAGCCCCUUACAUUGGCUACAAAGAGAUUUUCAAUGCUAGCAAACAUACUGGAAUUCAACUUGAAUUUUG